rnacentral:misc_RNA from 1 species
GAAUUAAGGUUAAAUUUAAUAGAAAAAAAUUAAACUUUAGGUCUGUUCGACCAUUAAAACCUUACAUGAUUUGAGUUAAGACCGGCGUAAGCCAGGUUGGUUUCUAUCUUUAAUUUAAAAAUUUUUAUAGUACGAAAGGACCUAAAAAUUUAAUUUAAUUAAUUAAUUAGCUUAUAUUAAAGCAAGUAUUUUGAAAAUACUAGAAAGAUAAAAAAUUUAUUAAUUUU